rnacentral:rRNA from 1 species
CGGACGGGUGAGUAACGCGUGGAGAACCUGCCGUAUACUGGGGGAUAACACUUAGAAAUAGGUGCUAAUACCGCAUAAGCGCACAGCUUCGCAUGAAGCAGUGUGAAAAACUCCGGUGGUAUACGAUGGACCCGCGUCUGAUUAGCUUGUUGGCGGGGUAGGGGCCCACCAAGGCGACGAUCAGUAGCCGGCCUGAGAGGGUGGACGGCCACAUUGGGACUGAGACACGGCCCAAACUCCUACGGGAGGCAGCAG